rnacentral:rRNA from 1 species
AACGAACGUUAGCGGCGCGCCUAACACAUGCAAGUCGCACGAGAAAGGGCUUCGGCCCCGGUAAAGUGGCGCACGGGUGAGUAACACGUGGGUAAUCUGCCCUCGAGCUGGGGAUAACAUUCCGAAAGGAGUGCUAAUACCGAAUAAGACCACGACCUCGAAAGAGGAUGCGGUCAAAGCUGGCCUCUAUACAUAAGCUAGCACUUGAGGAUGAGCCCGCGGAGCAUCAGCUAGUUGGUGAGGUAAUGGCUCACCAAGGCUUAGACGCUUAGCUGGUCUGAGAGGAUGAUCAGCCACACUGGAACUGAGACACGGUCCAGACUCCUACGGGAGGCAG